AUAUAAAAAUUCAGUUCCAAUUGCACUGAAGUUUAUGCAUACCAUGGACCAGUCACUCUUUAUGUCGCUGGCUAUGAUGUUCCAGAUCCAAUGCAUUACAUAAUAUCCACAUUCAUAACAGCCGGUUUGAACGUGACUCUACAUAUGGAAAACAUUUGAACAUCGUAUACAUUACAUAAUUUCAUGACUUACCUAGACAACAAUAACGCAUGGUACAUAGCUGACUAACCUUUACUUCAAUCCACUUAGGUGCAACUGCCUUAGUUUCAGGAGACAAGGUCGUCUUCAAUUUCGUCAUUACACUGCUUUUAAAAAACCACAUCAACACAUAUACAACAUGUCAAUCAAUAAUGCCCAUUAAAGAAGGCUUGUAAAAAUUUAUAUGGUAUGAGAUAACCUAUUAAUUGUAGCUUUGAUAUGCAUAUCAGGUUUCCUACGCAAGGAACAGAACCAAACAACAACAUGUUGCCUAGGACACAAAACUACGAGUUGCCAAUGUGCCCUGCAUGUGAUGCACAUUAGAUACGUAUACACCCAAACAUCAUUUGAAGUAUGUUUGUUAAAUAACACUUACUGAUGGAAGUAAGGUCCAAUGUACACCUCUCGGUCAGAUUCCUUAAGCCAUCUUAGAAGAUAUUGUUCGCAUUCGCUGCGUCUUUCCUUUGAACAAACCAACGACUGUGGCUCAAGGAAUGCAUACAUGAAACCUUGACUGAAUAUCUGACUCCACUCAUGAAUAUACCUAUUCACAUGAUUUGAAAGUAUUGUAGUGGAUCAUGAUAUAGAAUGAAUGACGAAUAAAUAAAUGAAGGAUUUGACUUACAUUAACCAUAAUUGUAUGACAGAUAUGUUCAGACUUUUGUCUCCUGCUAUUAUUUCACUAACAUCUGAAUAUGUAAUGAAUAUCGAUGCAGAUGCAUCUACAAUUCCAAGAAAGCUCCCAUCAAAGUUGAUUUCAAGUGGGUUGUCGUAAAUAUCGAAACUAUACUUUAUCAAUCCACGCAACGGAUCAUCUGCGUCCACAUUAGUCGGCUUCGGCACAUGUGCAUCCUCGUUGUGUGGAAUACUUUGUGGAACCUACAUGGUUAAUGAAAGUGGACUAUCAGCAACUCGUUAUUGUUGUUCCCUAAUUACUAGCACCAAAUCCUUGCAGCAUUUCCAUUUCAUUGACACGAGUGCAGGGCUUCAGACCUUCAAACCAAGUCUUUUAGAAAGAAGUAUCCCGUUUGCGUGGUCUAGUUGGUGGAGGAGAAAUUCAGGAUAAUGACAUUUUAGUUGUCAACUUCCCAGGUUCUCCUGGAUCCUUCAAGUGGAGGG